CUCAGCUAGUAAGACGGACCGUUUAAUGUGACAACUUUAAGUUUAAUUUUUCACCAUUUGAUUUGCAUCUUCCUCCCACACGCAGGGGCGACAGACAAGGAGCAGAGAUGGAAGAGAUGGAGAAGGUGAGAUCUCAGAACCUGCAGAAAUGUUCAUGAGCCAUUGAAGAGCUGGAACCCAGAUGAAAUGGUGACCCAGCUUGGGCCACGCAAAUGAUGCCAAACCACUCGGCAACAGGAGGGAGAAACAUGGGAUCCUGAAAAGCCACGGAGAGCAGAGCUUCCCCGACAACAUGAACAAUUUUCAUUGGGACUAUUACGGGACAGAGAAAUAAACUUCUGUAUUGUUGAGUCUCUUUAUUAUAGCAGGGCUGGCGCAGACGGCGUCUAUCAAUUUAGGAAUCGUGACGUUCAGAUUUUCAUCCAUCCAUCUUCGAAAGUCUCCAAUGUCACAGGUACAGUCAAAAGGAUUUUCUCUUAGAUCCAAAAUAGCCAGAUUGGUGGCAGUCUUAGUGUGCAGUGUGGAUUUUUUGAUCAUCCUUAGCAGAUUGGAACUUAAAUCGAGGUGUAGCAGACUGCUGGCUUCAGAAAGAAAACCAGAGGGCAGGUGGGAAAUUCUGUUUUUUCUCAGCAGCAGGGUUUGAAGAGAAUUUGUAAAUGUAG